GAUCCUGGCUCAGAUUGAACGCUGGCGGCAGGCUUAACACAUGCAAGUCGAACGGUAACAUAAAGAAGCUUGCUUCUUUGAUGACGAGUGGCGGACGGGUGAGUAAUGCUUGGGAAUCUAGCUUAUGGAGGGGGAUAACUACGGGAAACUGUAGCUAAUACCGCGUAGUAUCGAGAGAUGAAAGUGUGGGACCUUCGGGCCACAUGCCAUAGGGUGAGCCCAAGUGGGAUUAGGUAGUUGGUG
rnacentral:rRNA from 1 species